rnacentral:tRNA from 1 species
GGAAAGAUGUCCGAGUGGUUUAAGGAGCAAACCUGGAACGUCUGUGUAAUUUAUGUUACCGAGGGUUCGAAUCCCUCUCUUUCCG